rnacentral:rRNA from 1 species
GACGAACGCUGGCGGCGUGCUUAACACAUGCAAGUCGAGCGGUAAGGCCCUUUCGGGGGUACACGAGCGGCGAACGGGUGAGUAACACGCGGGUGACCUGCCCUCAGCUCUGGGAUAAGCCUGGGAAACCGGGUCUAAUACCGGAUAUGACUCCAUGACGCAUGUUGUGGGGUGGAAAGCCUUGUGCGGCUGAGGAUGGGCCCGCGGCCUAUCAGCUUGUUGGUGGGGUGANGGCCUACCAAGGCGACGACGGGUAGCCGGCCUGAGAGGGCGACCGGCCACACUGGGACUGAGACACGGCCCAGACUCCUACGGGAGGCAGCAGUGGGGAAUCUUGCGCAAUGGGCGAAAGCCUGACGCAGCGACGCCGCGUGAGGGAUGACGGCCU